GUUCACUUUGACUGCACACAGACUAAAAUAAGAAUGAUACAAAGAUUAGCAUGGAGCCUGUCCAAGGAUGACACCUACAUUUGUGACGUAUUCACGCACAUA
ensembl:snRNA U6 U6 spliceosomal RNA